CCAUACUAACCCUAAUUUAAUUACCCUCCCCUCACCUUACCCACUCCCUCACACAUACAUACCAUGCCGCCACCCCCGAACCCAGCGGAAGAAAGAAAGAGAGAAGAGAGGGAGCUACGAAGAGGGAGGAAGAGGGAAGAGAAUAAGAAAGGAGAAGGGGAGACGGCGCCGGCGGGGCUGGGUACCACCGUUGUCACCGAGCUACAUGCUACCAUCCUCGACGGCGUGGUCACAUUGAAAGAGAGAGAGAGAUGAGGACCCGUCGAGCCACGCAUUGCCGCCGUCCAUGCGUCGUCGUUGAACGUCACCGAGAGAGGAAGGAACGCGAGCUAGAGGAGCUGUCGUCAACGAUCCAUGCCUCCGCGUCUCACCAAGCCAUUACCGUCGUACUUUGUCAUCUCCAUUGCCGCCGAAUAGAAGAGAGGAAACUGCUCCUGUUGCCGUUGAGCUAAACGCCGCCAUCAAAACUGAUCCCGGCCGACGCUGUGCUUGGUGGGCUCCCUCACCGCCACUGCUAUCGCCAGGGCUGUCAAGAGCUGUCAUUGUCACCGUUUAUGUCUAACCAGAAGAGAAGAUGUGACGGUGGAGGGUGUUGGUGUUGUUGCAGGUGACACCAAGCUGUUGUGUCACUGUCGGAGCUCUUUGUCGCCAUUCUGCUCGCCGAACGUCAUCACCAGAGCUGCAGCUGCUUUGUUCUAGGUUCUUUUUUUGUGUGUCGUAAGUUGUUUUACUCCGAAAACCCUUUUAGUUGUUGUUCUAUUAUAUGUUGCUGAAGUUUUUGCGGUGUUAUUGUCAUACGGUUGAGUUCUGGUUAUUGCAUGUCGCGAUUAAAGUUGCUGCUAUUGCUGUAGAAGUAGUAUGGAAUUGUGGUUGCAGUUGUUACUGUUGCGGGCCAAAAGAAUAAGGGUCUUGACACGUUUUGUGGCUUACGGGUUUCGACUAUUCGAGAGGCCGAUAUUUGAUUAUAUGUUGGGCUGGAAGCCGUGAUUGGUUAUGCUUGGGCCGGACGCCGUGGUUGGUAGAGCGUCAUGUUCAUGCACCAUCUCAUCAUCUUCAGAGUCUUCAGAUUCACACUCAUCAUCUUCAAGCUCCUGGUUUAUCCCUGUGACCAUACUGGCAUAGGAUCUUCCUUUUUUGAUAUCUUCAUUGUUCUGCAUCCAGCUUUCAACUCGAGAAACCAACGCAGAUGUUCCUUCGAAGCCUUCUUCUCUCUUUUUUUUAACUUUUUAGCACUACUUAUGGGUAGCUUCGUUCUCUGUUUCAGAGUGGUAUCUUUCAUCCGGAUCUCCCUCCAGUUAGCCAUGAUCAGCUAUUAGAGAAGGUGGAUUAGCAAUGCAAGUGUCCAUUUGGGAUCAAGGUGUACGGAGAGAAAACUGAUGGCUAAAUUGAAAGAGUAACCCCGACCACUAAUUGAUUGCAAUGUUGUUACUCCACCCUACUAAGAAAAAAAGAGUAAAGUAUCACUUUUGUCCCCAACGUUUGUGACAUGACGACAGGUAGCAGAGGUGUCACGAGUCGGUCUCGUGGUCAUGGUAGAGGGAGGGUUUCCACUGGUACCCCAGGGACUUCUCAGUCAUCGCCCUCUAGCCUGACUACCUCAUCGAUCCCUGUGACGUCACAGGCGGGUCCAUCAGACCAGUAGUUCAUCAUGGUACCGAACCCCAACUAUGUGACUCCUUCUGCUAUACCCCACCUUCGCCCCCCAACAACUCUAGCGACAGAGACUGCGGUGGGUGAUUUCUCUAAUGCGUCCCAGCCAGAUGCCCCUUUACUACCUCCCGUCAUACUGAUAAGGAUUUUUCUAAUGUAUUUCUCGUCAUUGGGCUAAAAGAAACAUAAGCCCAAUAUGUUGAUAACUUCCAACCUUGUGAAAUAUUGCUAUUGAAUAUGUGGCUGAGUUUUAUGUCAAUUGGGCCAGAAAAUUAUUGUGCAAGCCCAAAAAUAAUUCUUGUUACAAGACCAACAAAGGCUUGGUCCGAAAAUGAAAAAUGGAAGAAAGCAAUACUGCAUGCUAUCAACGGUUAUCCACU